GGUGAAUGCGUUAUGACAGUCUAGUCUAGACGACGGAAUAUGCGAUAACGUGUGGCGUUUGGAGAGUUAUAAACAUACAUACAUACAUACAGGCACAUCAAGAUUAACCUGUUCAAAAAAACAUCAAACUAUAAUGCGAUUCCUACAGAAUUAAACACCAGAAUUAUGUGUCGGGAAAAUCUAAACUGAAGUUGAUUACCUGAUCAAAAUUAAAUGGUGCAUGUUUUCCAAUUGGACUAGCACCACUUAUUGUUGCCCUACGUUGAACUGGAAUAUGAGGUUUGGGUAAAUAUAACCU